rnacentral:SRP_RNA from 1 species
GCCGGGCGUGGUGGCGGGCGCCUGUAGUCCCCGCUACUCGGGAGGCUGAGGCAGGAGAAUAGCUUGAACCUAGGAGGCGGAGUUUGCAGUGAGCCGAGAUUGCGCCACUGCACUCCAGCCUAGGUGACACAGUGAGACUCUGUCUCAA